UGCACAUCUUCCUUUAGACACUCUAG
rnacentral:misc_RNA from 1 species